AUCCCUCUAUGGACAUCUGAUAAAAUUGGAACGAUGCACAGAAGAUUAGCAAGCCCACACAUGGAUGACACACACAAAGACCUCUAAUACAAUCAUUUAU